CAAGCUCGUCAGGAAAGCACUCGUCCCGUUCGUUCUGUGAGAUCGACGGUGAGGGUUGCUGGUUCCCGGCUGAUGGGAUUCAGCUGGUUUUCCUGGAUCGUCUGUGAAUGCCUUGUUCCACGGACCGGUCGUCGAUGCACUCGAGGUGCACCGCAUUGACGAGCGGCAGUAGCAGGAUUCAAUCGGCGCGGCCGAGCUGGCAGCGAAGCCGUUUCUCGGUGAGCCAUUCACGCCGAAUGAGGGCGGUCAAGAGCCGGCUGCAUACGUUCGAUUCGUUCGAUUCGAUAUUCGUUACGCGCACGAUUAAACUGUGUAACGAUGCCGAGUGUGUCCGGCCAUCGCGACUAGCAGCACAGCGGAAGUUAAGUUGCGUCAUCUAUUGUGACACCUUUUCAUCAACAACUGGCAUGACUAUCGGCGCACGGUCGGUGGCUCUAGCGAAGGGGAGGGUGCGUUCCAAUCGGCUGGCAGGACACAGAUCGGAUCGGUUAGGACAGCGAGUUAUAGUUACGUGCACCAUAGUGACACGCUCACCUCACCGCUUGAAUUGACCAUUGAUCCGCUGAACCAGCGGAGAACAUCGGACGAUCGCGACCAAGAAGAAAUGUUAAUUAUUACUCAAAGUGCGUGCUUCCUCACGAGUAUACGUAAAUUAUUAUUUUUUUACCCAAAUGGUGUUGCUCAACAAACACAUAAUUAUAUGUUUCAAUAGUCCAUGACUAUAUUAGCACAAUAAAAUCUUAUAUCUAAUUAAACCAAA